GUCUACGGCCAUACCACCCUGAACGCGCCCGAUCUCGUCUGAUCUCGGAAGCUAAGCAGGGUCGAGCCUGGUUAGUACUUGGAAGGGAGAAAUAGAAAAAAAAAAACAGCCCUAAAAU
rnacentral:rRNA from 1 species